rnacentral:rRNA from 1 species
AUUGAACGCUGGCGGCAGGCCUAACACAUGCAAGUCGAACGGUAACAGAAAGCAGCUUGCUGCUUUGCUGACGAGUGGCGGACGGGUGAGUAAUGUCUGGGAAACUGCCUGAUGGAGGGGGAUAACUACUGGAAACGGUAGCUAAUACCGCAUAACGUCGCAAGACCAAAGAGGGGGACCUUCGGGCCUCUUGCCAUCGGAUGUGCCCAGAUGGGAUUGGCUUGUUGGUGGGGUAACGGCUCACCAAGGCGACGAACCCUAGCUGGUCUGAGAGGAUGACCAGCCACACUGGAACUGAGACACGGUCCAGACUCCUACGGGAGGCAGCAGUGGGGAAUAUUGCACAAUGGGCGCAAGCCUGAUGCAGCCAUGCCGCGUGUAUGAAGAAGGCCUUCGGGUUGUAAAGUACUUUCAGCGGGGAGGAAGGGAGUAAAGUUAAUACCUUUGCUCAUUGACGUUACCCGCAGAAGAAGCACCGGCUAACUCCGUG